UUGAACAUGGCAUAUGAUGGAGAUGCGGACAUGUAGCCUUUCUCGGAAAACUAACGUCAUGAAAGUAUCAUCAGCAAAUGGAUGAAUCUCACGAAAACAUGUCCAGGUCGCAUUAUACCCCACAUUUUAAAGAAAAAAAUAAUAAUAUGACCCAGAAAUAUUCUUGAGAUUCAUCCAAAUACUCCUCCAAAUGGGAAAUGCCUAACCAUCUCAAAUACUGGACCCUAAAUGCUUGAAUCCAACAUAGAAGAAGAAUCCAAAAGCCGCAAACGAAUACCUUCACACUUCACACUGUUUUCACUUCAUGUUCUUGUUCUGGAAGAGCCUUUAAACACAUCUCUACACGCUGUGAGAUCAUGCCUUUGUUUAUAUUCAGUUCCUUACAAGUAUUUGUCAAUUAUGCAAUUGCGGACAAGCUAGUGGUCUUCUAUACGACGGGUCAGGAACUCAUCAGAACAACUUUCUUCCAACUUGUGCUUCCCAGCUGAAAGGAUUCAUAUUUUUGGAGGGAGUUAUUGAACAGACAAUGCCAAAAUAUACAACACACAAUAGAGAACAUGUAAGGAAACUUGUGAACUUCAGAUAUCAUGGACAUCAUUUGCUCACAGAAGAUGCAGCCUUUCUGUGGAAGGUGAAAACAAGACAAAUCAUGUUCUCCUGGAAGUCCCACUCUGAUUCCAGGUGUUAUUUUGCACUAUAUUAGUGCAGCAAAGAAAGCAUUCGCCAUUGAACAAUGUCUCUAAAACGACGAUUCUUCAAGGCAUCUGAAUAUGAAUCUGGAGCACAUCAAUGUAAAAGUGUAAAAAUAAAUCUCAGAGUGGGACUCUUUAAAGACCUCAUGUCCGUUUGUUUUCACUCAUUUGUGCAUUGUAUAGGUUAUAUGAUGUGUCUUUUCUGCUCAACUGACUUUAAAUAUGUAUUUUUUUGUUAUAGUUUUCCAUUCAGACAUUUAUUGGUCUAUACAGUUGCUGGGAAAAAGUGGUUGUGACAGUAUUAUGAUUUUUGAUUGGGGGGUAUUAUGCCCCAUUUUCAAUGUCUGGUAUCUAAUUACACGAAUGAUUUACGUGUCAAGACAGUGGGUCUCAUGGGAAGACCGAUAGUUUUUGCCUUAUUAUUCACAA